rnacentral:rRNA from 1 species
UACGAAGGGUGCAAGCGUUACUCGGAAUUACUGGGCGUAAAGCGUGCGUAGGUGGUUUGUUAAGUCUGAUGUGAAAGCCCUGGGCUCAACCUGGGAAUUGCAUUGGAUACUGGCAGGCUAGAGUGUGAUAGAGGAUGGUGGAAUUCCCGGUGUAGCGGUGAAAUGCGUAGAGAUCGGGAGGAACAUCAGUGGCGAAGGCGGCCGUCUGGAUCAACACUGACGCUGAGGCACGAAAGCGUGGGGAGCAAACAGG